rnacentral:rRNA from 1 species
GACGAACGCUGGCGGCGUGCCUUAUACAUGCAAGUUGAACGCUUACGGUUUGUGCUUGUGCCUACUGGAUGAGCAGCUAACGGGUGAGUACCUCGUGGGGCAUCUGCCUUAGCUCGGGGGACAACCUUUUGAAACGACUGCUAAUACCGCAUAAAAACUUUAAACACACGUUUUCAGUUUGAAAUAUGCCCUUGCAUCACUCAAAGAUGAUUCCGCGUUGUAUUAGCUAGUUGGUGAGGUAAAGGCUCACCAAGGCGAUGAUACAUAGCCGACCUGAGAGGGUGAUCGGCCACAUUGGGACUGAGACACGGCCCAAACUCCUACGGGAGGCAGCAGUAGGGAAUCUUCGGCAAUGGACGAAAGUCUGACCGAGCAACGCCGCGUGAGUGAAGAAGGUUUUCGGAUCGUAAAACUCUGUUGGUAGAGAAGAACGGUGGUGAGAGUAGAAAGGGCAUUAAGGAACGGAAAUGACCAAGAAAGAGAGGGCUAAUUACGU